AGAAACGUGCCUGAUAAAAGGAUUAUUUUGAUAGAAUAAAUUAUACAUUUAAAUGUCUUUUCUU
rnacentral:tRNA from 1 species